rnacentral:tRNA from 1 species
AGGGAAGAAGCUACAAUUACAGCAAUUAGUUGUUACCUAAUAGAAAGUGAAUAUUCUCACCUCCCCUAC